UACGUAGGAGACGAGCGUUGUCCGGAGUUACUGGGCGUAAAGCGCACGUAGGCGGCUUUCUAAGUCGGGGGUGAAAUCCUGGAGCUCAACUCCAGAACUGCCUUCGAUACUGGAAAGCUCGAGUCCGGGAGAGGUGAGUGGAACUGCGAGUGUAGAGGUGAAAUUCGUAGAUAUUCGCAAGAACACCAGUGGCGAAGGCGGCUCACUGGCCCGGUACUGACGCUGAGGUGCGAAAGCGUGGGGAGCAAACAGG
rnacentral:rRNA from 1 species